rnacentral:lncRNA from 1 species
AAAGAACCAGACGACUCUGACUCUCCCUCCCUUCAAAAUGUUUCGGUGGAUUACAAUGCCCUUAUUCCAGAAGAGCUACCAAUCGAAAUUGCACCCUUAGAGGAGGAACAAAAAGCACCUUCAGAAGGUAUGGCUCCCCCCUCCACUAGCCUUGAAAUUACUAUUAUAUUUGAGAUAGGUCUAGAUAAUAGCCUAAGAGCUAUUAAUGUUGAGCAUCCGAAAU